rnacentral:rRNA from 1 species
GAUGAACGCUAGCGGCAGGCUUAACACAUGCAAGUCGAGGGGUAGAGGUUGCUUGCAACCUUGAGACCGGCGCACGGGUGCGUAACGCGUAUGCAACCUACCUUUUACAGAGGGAUAGCCCAGAGAAAUUUGGAUUAAUACCUCAUAGUAUAUAACCUUCGCAUGUUGGUUAUAUUAAAGUUCCAACGGUAAAAGAUGGGCAUGCGUCCUAUUAGCUAGAUGGUAAGGUAACGGCUUACCAUGGCAACGAUAGGUAGGGGUCCUGAGAGGGAGAUCCCCCACACUGGUACGGAGACACGGACCAGACUCCUACGGGAGGCAGCAGGGAGGAAUAUUGGACAAUGGGCGCAAGCCUGAUCCAGCCAUGCCGCGUGCAGGAAGAAGCAUCUAUGGUGUGUAAACUGCUUUUGUACAGGAAGAAACACCCCGACGUGUCGGGACUUGACGGUACUGUAAGAAUAAGGAUCGGCUAACUCCGUGCCAGCCGCCGCCGUAACAC